UGGGGAAUAUUGGACAAUGGGCGAAAGCCUGAUCCAGCCAUGCCGCGUGUGUGAAGAAGGUCUUCGGAUUGUAAAGCACUUUAAGUUGGGAGGAAGGGCAGUUACCUAAUACGUGAUUGUUUUGACGUUACCGACAGAAUAAGCACCGGCUAACUCUGUGCCAGCAGCCGCGGUAAUACAGAGGGUGCAAGCGUUAAUCGGAAUUACUGGGCGUAAAGCGCGCGUAGGUGGUUUGUUAAGUUGGAUGUGAAAUCCCCGGGCUCAACCUGGGAACUGCAUUCAAAACUGACUGACUAGAGUGUGGUAGAGGGUGGUGGAAUUUCCUGUGUAGCGGUGAAAUGCGUUAGAUAUAGGAAGGAACACCAGUGGCGAAGGCGACCACCUGGACCAACACUGACACUGAGGUGCGAAAAGCGUGGGGAGCAAACA
rnacentral:rRNA from 1 species